UUUGUUUUAAAUUCUUGAAAUUUUUGUUGCUUUGUUUAUCAUCUAUUUUACCAGUUUUAGAUGCUUUCAUAUAAUCAAUUUUUGUUGCUUUCCUUGUCCUCUGCUAAAAAUUGAAUCGUUUUGCUUCUCAAUUACUGCCCAAAAGUUCAAUACUUUGUAUCUUUUUUUUUAGAAACUAGAUUCUUGAUUAUGAGUUUCAAGAUAUGAAAUUGACGAGUCAAAGAAAGGAUAAUUCUUCUUUUCCCCUUUUCUCGCUGCAAAAUGGCACACAAAUUCCCUUUCUCGCGCAGUAUUUUCUUCCUUCCGCCGCCGUACCCAAGGCAUCAGCCACAUGCAAACCUGAAAAUUGGUCUGGUUCAAGUUGAAAUUGGCUCAUAGAAAACAACAUAAGUUUCAUAUUCCUCAUACUAUUUGUCUUCUUUAUCUACUAAUAAUUUUAAACUGCCGUCAUGCUUUUUCUUUUUUGUUCAUUUUGUAUUGGCUUGUUAUCUUCCUUCCUCAUUUUUUUUAUGUCGUCAAGAUUUUUACUAGGGAGAUUUUAAGUUUAAUCAUGUAAAAAUAGUGUAAUUUUUGGACCAAGGGGGUCAACUCCAUGGCUUACCUUGCUCCGUCCCUGUUUGAGUUGGUUGUGAUUAGAAUAAAGCUGAAAAUUAGAGAUAUUUAGCUUUAGUUGGUGCAGUUAGGUAGAAUUGCUUUGCUAAAUCCCUUUGACUCUACGACUUUUUUCUAUUUUUCUAUCUGUUAUUUUUGAUUAUUGAUGUUUUGGUUUGGCUGUAUUUGUAAAUGAAUAUUAAUAAUUGUGAAGUAUUAGAUGAUGAAGAUAUGGCUGUAGAGUUCAUUGCAGGCAAAGCGUGUCAUGUAGACUCAUGUAGUGCCUGGUGUUGUUUAAACCCACACCGAGGUGGCUUAUGUUGGGAAAACUGAGGAACGGUACAGAGCAUUGUGUCCGGACAUCCCUCGUACUUGCCAUGCAUAUCCACCAUCGAGUGAGGCACUCAAAGAAGUAGCCAUGGCCACUUGUGACAAGCUCAUUCACAUAUAGAUUGGCAAGGACAAAAGCUAGUGGAGUAAUUGAUGCAGAUACUUCUUGUAUAAAAAUGCUUUAGUGAUUUAGGUUCUCUCAACUAUGCCAGAAUGCUGGCGGGAUCCAGAGUUGGUGCUUUCUCCAUGGAAUGUGCACUAUCACUCUGGCUUUCUGAAGCAUCUAAUGCUUAGAUCAGACAGGUAUUUAGAUCUAAUUUCUGUCCAUUUUGAAUAAAGAACUGAAGUCUCUUGCUUAUUGUUAUGCUAAUGAUCAGUUUCUAUUUUUUUAGGGGUGGGUGGGGUGGGGUAUGGCAUUGGAGUGGCUGGAAAGAUAGUUGAGUAGUCAAGUAUAUAGUUUACCUGGUGAACAUCAUUAAAAGGGAUAUGGAAAGUGCUAUUAGGGAAAAUAUGAAACUCCUUCAGAUUCCCUAGGUACUUUGAAUGUGAACUAGGAGCAAGAUAGAGAGUGCCUUGACAUGAGUGGUUUUGGAUUGGUGUGCUAGAUACAAGGGCAGAUGUUUGAAGCCACACAUCUAUCUCUUUCAUGUCAUGCAAGACUGAACCUGCAAUUGUAGUAUGAGAUAAACCAGGCCUGGCGUAGUUAUGUUGUUGAAGCUCACUGAUAUUUCUCACGAGUGGUAAUCCAUUAAUUGAGCAGUGAGUAUCUUCAACUGUGGCGAACCACAAAACAACAACUACUAUCAUGUCAUCCACUCCUCUAAGAAAUCUUCAAGUAUGUUUAUUUUAUUCUCUUGUGCAACUGCUACACAAUUUUGAGUAUUUUAUGGCGGGAUCAGUAAUGUAAAGCCUAAGAUCACAUGACUGUUUAGUCUAUCAACAUUGAUAUUUCCAGUUAAGUGCUUCCUGUCAUUGUUUCUUAUAGUUUUCAUGUUCUGGUUAACAGCCUCUAUGGCAGAGAUCAAAGAAAUUAAGAACCAAAAGCACAAAGAGAUGACAUAAUUUUUGCUAUCGCUGUUGAUUGUAGACAUCCAGUGAGUCCUCAUUUUGGUUCUGCAGCUAUUGACAAUUAUGUAUUUUUGAAGCAUCAUGGUUGGAAGAGUAGUGGUAACUGUUCCCAUUAAUGAAAAUGCUAACUGUUCCCAUCAAUGAGUAAAUUCUUCAGGACAGGCUUCAUAAAUACAGAUGCUCACCCAAAGAAAAGAUUGAUUAAUGAUAGAGGGUGACCAUUUAUGUUCUGAUGCUGCCACUUUCCUUGGAGCAGAUAAUGUUUGCGCAAGAUUAGAAGUACUUCAGGUUGGUCUACAAAUGCAGUGGCUGCUAGUGACCUGAUUAGUAGUUAUUCACACUUCUAGAAGAAAAACGCGCUACAGUCAAAUAAUGCAUGGCAAGUGAAACUUAAAACUAACUAAACUUAUGUAGCUAAAGCUGAUUUUAUUCUUUCAAAGAAAUUCACCUGUAGCUGCUGAUGGCAUAAGACGCACGAGAGACGUUCUUGUCUGUUGCUAUCCAAGAUAUUUCAAUUGUUGGCUUUUAGUAUCCUGUUGGCUUCUUUCCUGAGCCUGGUGCAAAACAAUCCUAGAUUGAAUUUUCAAGAUACACCAGGGAGUGGUGGAUCUAACAUUCCUUCACUUGAUGCAAGUAAUGCACAAGCUAUAAGAGGAAAAAUUCUUUCAAAUUCAUCCGGCUCAGCUCAUGCUUCAGUUCAUGAAAAGGAACAAUGUGGGGAUCAAAUUUGAAUGGUGGACGCCACAACUAAACUUGAUCUAGAUUGAAGUGAAUGAUGAAGAAAUUUUGAAAUAUUUUGGUAUACAUUUAUAUACAUUUGGUUUUGUGUGAAACUUGGUACAAAUUUUUAUUAUGUUUUCUAAUUAGUAUGUAAAAGAUAUGUUUCUUUGAAGCUUCAUUGCAAAUUUAUGCACUUUAAUUAUUUAUUAGCUAA